GAUGAACGCUGGCGGCGUGCCUAAUACAUGCAAGUCGAGCGAACAGACGAGGAGCUUGCUCCUCUGACGUUAGCGGCGGACGGGUGAGUAACACGUGGAUAACCUACCUAUAAGACUGGGAUAACUUCGGGAAACCGGAGCUAAUACCGGAUAAUAUAUUGAACCGCAUGGUUCAAUAGUGAAAGACGGUUUUGCUGUCUCUUAUAGAUGGAUCCGCGCCGCAUUAGCUAGUUGGUAAGGUAACGGCUUACCAAGGCAACGAUGCGUAGCCGACCUGAGAGAGUGAUCGGCCACACUGGAACUGAGACACGGUCCAGACUCCUACGGGAGGCAGCAGUAGGGAAUCGUCCGCAAUGGGCGAAAGCCUGACGGAGCAACGCCGCGUGAGUGAUGAAGGUCUUCGGAUCGUAAAACUCUGUUAUUAGGGAAGAACAAAUGUGUAAGUAACUAUGCACGUCUUGACGGUACCUAAUCAGAAAGCCACGGCUAACUACGUG
rnacentral:rRNA from 1 species